AGGGCGCGUAGGCGGGUUUGCAAGUCAGGUGUGAAAUCUCGGGGCUUAACCUCGAAAUUGCGCCUGAAACUACUUAUCUAGAAUAUCGGUGGGGGAUGGGGAAUUUCGCAUGUAGGGGUAAAAUCCGUAGAUAUGCGAAGGAACACCAGAGGCGAAAGCGCCAUCCUGGACGAUUAUUGACGCUGAGGCGCGAGAGCAUGGGGAGCAAACAGGAUUAGAUACCCUGGUAGUCCAUGCUGUAAACGAUGAGCACUAGAUGUGGUGGGUAUUGACCCCUACCGCGUCGUAGCUAACGCAUUAAGUGCUCCGCCUGGGAAGUACGGUCGCAAGAUUAAAACUCAAAGGAAUUGACGGGGGCCCGCACAAGCGGUGGAUUAUGUGGUUUAAUUCGAAGCAACGCGAAAAACCUUACCUGGGCUUGAACUCCCACGAAUCCCCUAGAGAUAGGGGAGUGCUCCUUGGAGAAUGUGGUGAGAGGCGCUGCAUGGCUGUCGUCAGCUCGUGUUGUGAAAUGUUGGGUUAAGUCUCGCAACGAGCGCAACCCCCGUCCUUAGUUGCCAGCAUUAAGUUGGGCACUCUAAGGAGACUGCCGGGGUUAACCCGGAGGAAGGUGGGGAUGACGUCAAGUCCUCAUGGCCCUUAUGUCCAGGGCUACACACGUAAUACAAAUGGCCAGUAUAAAGGGACGCCAACCCUGCGAGGGGGAGCUAAAUCUCAAAAAGCUGGUCUCAGUCCGGAUUGAAGUCUGCAACUCGACUUCAUGAAGUUGGAAUCGC
rnacentral:rRNA from 1 species